GGUUGGCUAGCUCAGUUGGUUAGAGCGUCGAGCUAAUACACCAGCCCAAUUGGGUAGGUAAUGUAACUCGAAGGUCGUGGGUUCGACCCCCCCGCUGACCA